rnacentral:misc_RNA from 1 species
CGAUUCAAGUUGUGAUAGCAAACACCUUAGAGUCUGUACCUCUUCAUUAGAAAAUAUAUCAGUGGUUGUAGUAUCUUCAGACAGAUUCACAACCUCAUAUACAUUAGCUUGUGGUCUAGUAGGGCCUAUCCUUUUUCCUCCAUGCCCUUUAGUGGGGCGUCCAUGCAGUUUCUAAUAGUGUUCCUUAGUAUGCUGAUUUUUUCCACAAUAGUCACGAUGUAGUUGAUCCUUAUCUAAUGAACCAUGAGACUGUUCAUG